AGUAGGUCAGCAUCUUUCACACUCCUCCUCCUCCUCCUGGUGCACAGAAGAGGCAGAUGCACAAGCAGUGUUUGAAGUCCACAGGACCUGGUGAAAUUUUCAGUGACAAAAUCCUUCCAACUCCAAUUCUGCUGAGGAAGGCCUUCACACCGAGAUGCUGAUUGCUGAAUUGUUCCAGUUCUGCAUGCCUGUAAUCCAUCCAGAUCUCAGGGCACCUGAUCACUUGAGAGGCCGAGGGGACAAGGAGCAUCUGUCUCUCACCACCUGCCACUGAACCACAGUGCAAGCUGCAGCCACUUCAUGUGCCACCAGACUUGUCACUGAAAGAGGAUUUCCCAAGGCUGCCCUACAACACCAACACUGCUGACAGCCAGAUAUUUCAAGCCAGGGCUUCUCUUCAAACAGCUCUGCAGAGUUGCACAGGAAUUUCAGUCCUUUAACACUCAGAAGAAGAGGUCUGGUGACUCCUACAUGAAAGGUCCUCCACAGGACUCUCUCCUCCCCUGGAGAAAUGCCUUUUCUAUUGCCAUCAUGCUGCCUCUGCUUGUCCAAUAAAACCUUUUCUGCAGGUCUUACUUUCAAAUUCCUGUCAAAGAUGAGGGUGUUAAAUAAGUUACAGACACACAAAGUGCAAAAGCAAAGGAUAAGUCAUGCAUUGGGAUGGUUUUAUUGCUGCCACAGGACAUUUAAGCUCAGAAAUACUCUGAUUUCUAGCCCCAGACCUCUAAGGAUUUAUUGCUGCCCUGCACCUGAAAUAAAUUCUGCUGCUGCAAUGAUCAUCAAACGGGGAGAGAAAAAUCCCUGCCCAGCCUGAAGGUGAGAGUAGCUGGGAAAUGCAGCACCAGCCUACAGGAGCAGAGGUGAUUUUGUGUAGGAGGAUCUGCUCCCUCCUUCCUCACACUACAACUCAGUCUGAGCAAGUACAUGCUCACUGUGAAUGGAAAUUUCCAUCUCAUAAAUCACCUGCAUCCUGACAAGUUUAUUAAAAACUAAGAAGGGAAUUGGAGUAGAUUUUUUUUCCCACUUCUAUUUACCUAUACCAAACAGAAACCCCCUGUGGGUUUGUUUGCACUCAUUUCUCUGAACCUAUCCAUCACAACCUGAAUCUAAUCUGGUUACCCUUUUCCCCACCUGCAAAAUUAUGGCACAGCAAACCAGAUUCACAGAGGAAGAUACAAACCAUUCUGUCUUUAUAGCACCUUUCUAACACACAGGAAAUGAGGAGUAAUGAAGAACCAUC